UGGCGACCGGCGCACGGGUGAGUAACACGUAUCCAACCUGCCGAUGACUCGGGGAUAGCCUUUCGAAAGAAAGAUUAAUACCCGAUGGCAUAGUUCUUCCGCAUGGUAGAACUAUUAAAGAAUUUCGGUCAUCGAUGGGGAUGCGUUCCAUUAGGUUGUUGGCGGGUAACGGCCCACCAAGCCUUCGAUGGAUAGGGGUUCUGAGAGGAAGGUCCCCCACAUUGGAACUGAGACACGGUCCAA
rnacentral:rRNA from 1 species